rnacentral:misc_RNA from 1 species
GUAGGUGAACCUGCGGAAGGAUCAUUAACACGUAUCCAACGUUAAACCCCCGUGCAUUUUAACCCUGCUCUCUUCGCCUUGACAAAGCAAUCUCUGGUAAAUCACGCGAACAGUUUGAUUCAGAGACUUCUUCGAGACGCGUGGAUGGAGCGGUAGAGCAAUUAGACUUGGUUUCCGCAAGGAUAACUGAUACUUACUCAGAUCGUUGACCCUCACGGUCAACGGACAGGUCUCUGGGCUUACGCCCCAU